GAUGAACGCUGGCGGCGUGCUUAACACAUGCAGGUCGAACGGGAAACCUUUUAAUGAAGCUUCGGCAGAUUUAGCUGGUUUCUAGUGGCGGACGGGUGAGUAACGCGUGGGUAACCUGCCUUAUACAGGGGGAUAACAGUCAGAAAUGACUGCUAAUACCGCAUAAGCGCACAGGACCGCAUGGUCCGGUGUGAAAAACUCCGGUGGUAUAAGAUGGACCCGCGUUGGAUUAGCUUGUUGGUGGGGUAACGGCUCACCAAGGCGACGAUCCAUAGCCGGCCUGAGAGGGUGAACGGCCACAUUGGGACUGAGACACGGCCCAGACUCCUACGGGAGGCAGCAGUGGGGAAUAUUGCACAAUGGGGGAAACCCUGAUGCAGCGACGCCGCGUGAAGGAAGAAGUAUCUCGGUAUGUAAACUUCUAUCAGCAGGGAAGAUAGUGACGGUACCUGACUAAGAAGCCCCGGCUAACUACGUG
rnacentral:rRNA from 1 species